rnacentral:rRNA from 1 species
CGGUAAAAGCUCAAAUUUGAAAUCUGGCUCUUUUAGAGUCCGAAUUGUAAUCUAGAGAAGUGUUACCCGCGUUGGACCGUGUACAAGUCUCCUGGAAUGGAGCGUCAUAGAGGGUGACAAUCCCGUCUUUGACACGGACUCCCAAGGCUUUGUGGUGCGCUCUCAAA